rnacentral:SRP_RNA from 1 species
CGGAGCAACACUUGUGCGUGAAGUGGGUCAGGGGAGGAAUCCAGCAGCCCUAAGCGAUUUUCGGGUGUGUGCUCUUUUUUUGUG